UUUCUUAUCUGGGCGGGGCGUAUUCGGGGCGGGUUACUUUUCAUUUUAUUUUUGACUCCCACUUACCGCUCCAUUCGGGGCGGAUCGGGGCGGGAGCGGAGCGGGAGUGGAUUUUUAACGGAUCGGGAUAGAUUAAAGGAAGAAAAGGGUCUCCGGCCUCCCGCUCCAUUUACUUGGCAGAUCGGGGCGAAUUCGGGAUGGGUUAUAUUUUUCUAUAUUUUUUGUUCCCACUUACCACCCCAUUCGGGGCGGAUCGGGGCGGAGCUCCACCAAUCCGGAUCCAUUUGCAUCCCUAAUUCCACCUACUAAAACCAAACACUAUUUUAUCUAUAUCUCGACUAAACACAAUUCUCAACCAAACACAAAAUUACUCUAACCCCACUUUAAUCCUGAAUUUAACCCUAUUUCAGGAAUAACAAGUUUUUACUUAAUCCCGAACUAAACGGUGGCUUAAGUGAAUGAAACAAAUCUUUUUCUAAAAAAAUAUUUCAGAAAAAAAAAUUUGAAAAAAAAAAAAAUA
rnacentral:lncRNA from 1 species